ACUACGUUUCUAAGAAAAACCAAGAAAAGUCCCCGCUCACUUUAAAGGGUGCACAAGGCGGCGAGUCUCCUCUCGGGUAGCCUAGCGCUCUACGGCCAGGUCGCGCUGAUGGUUGCCUGGCAUCACGAAUGGACAAAUGACACGGAACUGUAUGGUUUAAGUGGCGAGUUUUAUGUUAUGUGAAUUUUACCACCAAUAAAACCAAAAGUGCACAAACUCUGGCCUUCAGACACACGGAAAUGUGGGACACGCCAAUGGAAACAUCUGGAAAGGAAGCAGUGGUCCUGGCCAGAAAAAAGGAGCAGCGCUGGGAGGGCCCGGUGUUGCCCUGAGGCCAGUCUGUUUCUUUUGUGCCAAGGGAGAGUCAGGACUAAAGAGACAAUCUCUCACUGUGCAUGGGCUUUGCUAAAUAUCUGACAAACAGCAUCUCGCCUCAUACCUGUGCCGGAAGAGGGGCACUGCGCUCUCAGCUCUUCACUUUGCAGAAAAGAACACGGUGGCUCAGAGGUAAGGUUCCUUACCCUGGGUCACACAGCACAUCCAGCACCUCCACUGCCAGGUUCAUCUGAGGCAGCUGCCAGAGGUGGAACGCACUGAAGAACAGUCCACGUUGCGCUGGAAGUGCUUGUGUCACGCUGUAUCUCAUGAGCAAGGCCUCGCCUCCCUGGAAGGCAGCCAGCCGCCUGUGGACGUCACUGAGCCAAUCCCCAAGGACCUGCCAGCACUUCAAGCGUGAAGAUGCUUUUGCUUAUCGUAAAGGUUGCUGCUUUUACAGGAUUUUCACACACACUUUUUUCUUUUUUAAUUUGACUCUAAUGACUGGCCUGUAAGACAUUUUAAGGUCAACCCCAGGCAGCAGCUUCUGAAAGCUGGUUUCACUCUCACUUUGUUGUCAUUGGAGGGACAUGCUUUCAGAAAGGCAGGCGCCCGCCAGCUCUGCACCAGAAUUCCCCUGCACUGGUGCCAGCCAGGAGGGGCUUCCCCUUCUCGCCUCCUUCCCCCACAAAGCACACAGCCCUGGGACAACCCCUGAGGGAAGAAGACACAAGGUGGGCCAUGAUACCCCAACAGCACCAGUGCCCUGGGACCAGGAGGCCACCCAAAACUGCAGGGAGGAGAAGAGGCCUGCAUUGGAAGGGUCUGCCCAGGGCCCGCCCACUGGCAAUGGGAGCCUAGCAGGAGGAAAAGCACAGAACUGGGAAAGGACAGUUUUCACUACCGUUUGCAUUCUCUGUAGACUGGGGAAGGACACAGAGUAAUAGAAGUAAGGAAACAUGUUCACUGUUCACCAUCUCAUGCUUUUUAAAACCACGGAUGAUAUUACCUAUUCAAAGCAUGUUUGUGUUUGAAAAGCAGGUCACUUCAGAAGAUCUGGAAAACGCAAAAGUACUCAGAAGAAAGUGAAGAUCACCCCGAAUUCCCUCACCCGGAGACGAGCUCUGCCAGGAUUCCCUGCACAGUUUAACACCCGCCUCCCUUCAGGCAACCUCAGAACACAAGUGCCAUUCCACACCCAGAGCCAAACCCCAGGCAACAACCUCACAUGCAGAACUGAAGGUGCCCAGGCUACCCAGGCUGUCCUGGCUGUUCCUGCCUGGCUGCAUGAGGCCUGGCCACAGGGCUUUUGCACCAGCCAGGCCCUCACCUGGACCAGCUUCCUCCCGCCCCCAGCUGCCU